rnacentral:rRNA from 1 species
CCUACGGGGAGCUGCAGUGAGGAAUAUUGGUCAAUGGGCGGAAGCCUGAACCAGCCAAGUAGCGUGCAGGAUGACGGCCCUACGGGUUGUAAACCGCUUUUGCACGGGGAUAACACCCUCCACUUGUGGAGGUCUGCAGGUACCGUGCGAAUAAGGGCCGGCUAAUUCCGUGCCAGCAGCCGCGGUAAUACGGAAGGCCCGAGCGUUAUCCGGAUUCAUUGGGCUUAAAGGGAGCGUAGGCGGGCGUUCAAGUCAGCUGUAAAAUCGCGCGGCUCAACCGCGCCCCGCAGUUGAAACUGGACGCCUUGAGUUCACAACAGGCAGGCGGAAUUCGUGGUGUAGCGGUGAAAUGCAUAGAUAUCACGAGGAACCCCGAUUGCGAAGGCAGCCUGCCGGGGUGCGACUGACGCUGAGGCUCGAAGGUGCGGGUAUCAAACAGGAUUAGAUACCCUAGUAGUC